AAUUAUCUUGACUAGUUAUGCCUCAUCACGAAUGAGAUGCAUUAUCGAAGCACUGAAGCCUCCUUUAUGAAGAAUUAAGGUCUGUCUACCUUAUUUUCCUGCACCCCAUUUCUUCACCUUUUCCUAGCGGGUGAGGCAACAGCUUAGGUGGCACUAUCUUCGCUUGUCUCCGCUAUUGUUGCCUCCGCUUGCUUAGACAACAGACGUACUCGAGGUCGGAGAAAAGAUGAAGAUCCUCGUUGCAGUGCUCGUCCAUGUCAUGUUAGCAGGACUUGUCUGCUCAUAUGGUGAUUUUGCGAACAGACAGAAGUCUCUGUUGCACUACUUUCGGAAUGCUGUAAGUAGUUGAUGCUUCAGUGCUUCUGCAAAUAUGUUUGCGUUGGUAUUAAUGCAUACUUAUUCACAGGCAUAUAGAUAAGUAACUAGAUUAGUAAAUGGA